UUAAGUUCAGCGGGUAUCCCUACCUGAUCCGAGGUCAACCUUUGGAGGGGGUGUUUUUAGAUAACGGCAAUGAGCCCAACGUUCCCAACUGCUGGUUGGCGAAAAGUGCUUGACAGCUUUUACAACGCCUCACUUCAGCAGAGGAUGGGUACGGACCCGCCAUUGAAUUUUGAUGGGGAGGAGAGGGGAUCCUUACAGAU
rnacentral:misc_RNA from 1 species